ensembl:lncRNA novel transcript
GUUUGGUCUCGUUUCUGACAGUAUCUGAGAGUCCAGUCCAAUGCCUAGCUGAUUUCCUUUGCAGGUUAUGUCUCGACUGCCAUGAAUGAGACAGUGUGAAGAACAGAAACCAAUGCAAUGAACAGCCCUGGAAGCCGCCAGCGAUGGCUUGUCUGACAACAGAAAGAGGCAGGUUUCUCUCCUGAGCCUUGCACAGACGAUGCUGGCCCAAAUCCUUCCUGAUAAACAUCAAAUGGAGACAACCAGCUACAAGCAAUUCCUCCAACAACAGAAUAAAUAUUGGCACACCAAGAAAUAAUCUACUGAUGGGAAUAGAGGCCCUGAAAAUCAUCCCACAGUGAGUCAAUCCCAAGUUCAGCAGCAAAUCCUCAUUUUGACAGAAUCAGGAAGAUGUUGAAGAGGAACUCAAUCAGCUACUGAUGACUCCACUGAUUAUGGGCUUUCUCAAGCUGCCUUUAUGAAGAACAGGAAGACAAGAUGGUCGGCUCUUAUCCCUGAAGAGGAACUUGAUCCUGAUGGAAACAUCCUAAUGGAAAAUGUGGGUUGGGAUGGGAGCCCGUGAUGAAGUGGCAGCUUGGCCUCACCACAAGUCAUUCCAGUGACAUGCGUCACAGUGCCUUCCAGCUCCAAAUUUUCAGAAAUAGUUUUGCAUAUGGAAAAAUAUGAGGUGACAUAAAAUGGUAACAAAGGUUCUACAUUUCUAUUGACUCUUCAACCACAUGUCAAUUAGGGCCAAUAUUUAGAACAUACUGGAUCUUCUGAAAGCGUGAGAAAGGAAGGUGCAUUUCCUUGCUCUCCUUGCAAAAUAUACAUAGCUACGCAUUUGAUUUUUAUUGGGAAUGUAAUCAACAGAAUAUUUUAAUAAAAAAUGUGAAAGCAGGCAGAAAAUUUUCAUAUACAACAUAUAUAUAUAAUAUAUAUAUGUAGAAAAUGUACUUUAUUAUCAGCCAUUUCAAUUACCAUGGACUCUAAAUGUUAUGAGUUUAAUUAAAUAAAGAUGAGUUUUAAAAAUAAAGAAAUGUACACAUUCAGCAUUUUAAAAACUAUACUUCUAAAAACUCUUAUUUAUAGAGAUGUCCCUUAACAUGCAAGAUAUAUAAUAAGCACUUAGGAUAGGCUGGCAAUGGCAAAAUAUAUAUUAGUCCUAAGUAACUAAUACAUAUGUACCUAUACAUACUAACUCUCAAAUGAAAUGAUAAAGACUCUAAUUGUAGCAACCAAAAGAUCUUUCCUUGUUUGAAGAUUGAUUGAAGAGAAUCCUGACUUAUGUUUCUGUUUAUAUGAAAAGUAACAAUGAAGAAAGAGAAGCAGAAGAAAAAGUGCAUUCAAAAUGCUAUAGCAAUCAUGAGGCUCUCACCUUGCAGUUAAAAAAACUCCAGCAAAGUUGAGCUUAUUAAGGGACAAAAUGGAAAAUUUGAUGACAGGUCUGAAACUCAGAGAAUUACAAAGCUAAUUCGUGCCGUAACUUGAACAGUUUUCUGGAUGCAAGCACAUGUGAUUUCUACUACAACCACAGCUGCUGGGAAGGGAAGAAAGACAUUUGUUGAGUGCCGACAAUGUGUCAGGUAUAAAGCUGCAUCAUUUAAUGCUCAUUCUGAAUGUUAGACAGAUUAUCUCCUCAAUAUCACAGAGGUUAAAUCAGACGUUGGCUAACUACAGCUGAGCAGCAAAAUUCAGCCAACCACCUGUUUUUGCAAAUUAAGUUUUAUUGGCCCUCAGCCAUCCUCAUUCAUUUACAUAUUGUCUCUGACUGCUUUCACUAUGUGGCAGUGGAGUUGAGUAUUUGAGACAAGACAGUGCAGCCCCCAAAACCUAAAGUAUUUAUUUAAUCUGGACUUGUACUGAAAAGCUGUUUAAUCAUGGGUGAAAUGAAUCCUUUGGAGACAGAAGACAUCUUUUCCAUUGGAAUAAAAAGCACGAAUUUGGUAGACUUAAUUCCAACCUAAAAAUGCUCAGAACAGGAAUACCAACUGAUUAAUUUUUUAAAAGUACAAUGAAAUAAUGUAUGAUCAUUAAAUUAUAUCACUGAUUUUCUUUUCUUUUUUAUUUUUAAUUGAAAGUAAAAAUUGUAUAUAUGGUGUACAACAUGUUCUAACAGAUACAUACAUUGUGGAAUGGCUAAAUCAAGCCAUGUAACAUAUGCUUUACCUGGCAUAAGUAUUAUUUGUUUGUGAUGAGAAUGUUUAAAAUCUAAUCUCUUAGCAAUUUUCAAGUAUACAAUAUAUUUUUAUUAGCUGUAAUCACCAUGUUGUACAAUAGAUCUCUUGAACUUCUUCCUCCUGUCUAACUAAAACAUUGUACCCUUUGACUCACAUCUCUCCAGUCUCCCUGCCCCUCUCCCCACAGACCCUGGUAACUAUCAUUUUACUCUCUGCUUCGAUGAGUUCAACUUUCUUAUUUUUUUUGAGACAGAGUCCUGCUCUGUCACCCAGGCUGGAGUGCAGUGGCACAAUCUUGGCUCACUGCAACCUCCGCCUGCUGGGUUCAAUCGAUUCUCCUGCCUCAGCCUCCUGAGUAGCUGGGACUACAGGUGUGUGCCACCACGCGUGGCUAAUUUUUUGUAUUUUUAGUAGAGACGGGGUUUCACCAUAUUGGCCAGGCUGGUCUCGAACUUCUGACCUCGUGAUGUGCCUGCCUCGGCCUCACAAAGUGCUGGGAUUACAGGCAUGAGCCACCAUACCGGUCAAGUUCAACUUUCUAAAAUUCCACAUAUAAGUGAGAUUAUACAAUAUUUGUCCUUGUGUGUCUUGCUUUUUCAUUGAACAUAUUAUCUUCCAGGUUCAUUCAUGUUACAAAUGAUAGAAUUUCCUUCUUUUUAAGGAUAAAUAGUAUUCCAUUAUAUAUGUACGUACUACAUUUUCUUUCUCCAUUUAUUCAUUGAUGGACAUUUAGGUCGAUUCAAUAUCUUGUCUGAUCUGAAUAAUGCUGCGAUGAAUGUGGAAAUGCAGAUAUCUCUUUGACAUACAAAAAACCACUGAUCUCCUUGGAUAGCUCAAAAACUGACUGAAGACAAUUCAAGAAAAGAGUUCUAAAAAUAUUUUGAGCAGGCCAGGCGAGGUGGCUCACAUCUGUA